rnacentral:rRNA from 1 species
UGAGGAAUAUUGGUCAAUGGGGGCAACCCUGAACCAGCCAAGUCGCGUGAAGGAUGAAGGUCUUAUGGAUUGUAAACUUCUUUUAUACAGGAAUAAAUUGGGGGACGUGUCCCCUUUUGCAUGUACUGUAUGAAUAAGGAUCGGCUAACUCCGUGCCAGCAGCCGCGGUAAUGCGGAGGAUCCGAGCGUUAUCCGGAUUUAUUGGGUUUAAAGGGUGCGCAGGCGGGAUGUUAAGUCGGCGGUGAAAUUUUGCAGCUCAACUGUAAAAGUGCCUUCGAUACUGGCCUCCUUGAGUGUGGAUGAAGUAGGCGGAAUUUGUGGUGUAGCGGUGAAAUGCUUAGAUAUCACGAGGAACUCCCAUUGCGCAGGCAGCUUACUAAGCCACAACUGACGCUCAUGCACGAAGGCGUGGGGAUCAAACA